rnacentral:rRNA from 1 species
AUUGAACGCUGGCGGCAGGCCUAACACAUGCAAGUCGAGCGAGCGGCGGACGGGUGAGUAAUGUCUGGGAAACUGCCUGAUGGCGGGGGCUAACUACUGGAAACGGUAGCUAAUACCGCAUACCCACAGAUGUGCCCAGAUGGGAUUAGCUAGUAGGUGGGGUAACGGCUCACCUAGUCGACGAUCCCUAGCUGGUCUGAGAGGAUGACCAGCCACACUGGAACUGAGACACGGUCCAGACGCCUACGGGAGGCAGCAGUGGGGAAUAUUGCACAAUGGGCUAAAGCCUGAUGCAGCCAUGCCGCGUGUGUGAAGAAGGCCUUCGGGUUGUAAAGCACUUUCAGCGGGGAGGCGUUACCCGCACAAGAAGCACCGGCUAACUCCGUGCCAGCCGCCGCGGUAAUUC